rnacentral:lncRNA from 1 species
AAUAUCUUCCUUCACAUAUUUGAGAGCUGUAUUGUCCCAAUUAUUAUUUUGGAAUCAAGAGGAAUAAGAAAUAGAAACUUAGUUAAUAGUCUUUGGUUACAAAGUCUUUGAAAACUGGUUACAAAGACAAUGUGGAAUAUUUUGGGGGCAGUUACUUUUUAAAUUCUGAGAAAACUGCUACUUUGGCAAUUAUAUUUAAGUAUGUAACUUAAGAGUUUUAAGAAAAUGAUUUGCAUAAUCAUAUACUGUAACUGGAAACAGACAUGUGGAGUAGCAGAACGGGUUAUGUCUGAUUUUCCCUGGCAACAUUUUCAAAGGGACAUUAAACUUGAAGGUUCUGAAGCCUACAGGGGCAGGAUAGGCUGAUCUCCCGAACUUGACUUUGAGCCUUACUCUCUUAGUUCAGUUCUUUUCUUUUUCUGUUUUCUCUAAGUCUGCAGGAUCAACUAAAGGUUGUUAUUAGUGACAGAAUGUGUAGUUUGAAUAGUGUGCUAUUGAUAGUAUUGGGCAUCAGUUUGGAGAUUUCCAUUUUAAGUAACUCAUAGGUUAAUAUUCUCUGAGUGUAAUAAGGUAAAAUUGCCAUUUGUUUUUCUUAUCAGAAGAGAUGGUAUUGCAACUGGGUGGUGGCACACAUACCUGCAAUCCCAGCGACUGGGUAGGUUGAGACAGGAGGAUUGCAAGUUCGGGGCCAGCCUUAGCAACUUAGUGAGGAUCUGAGCAACAUAGUGAGACCCUGUCUCAAAAUUAAAAAGGACUGGGAAUUCUAGCUCAAUGAUUAAGUGCCCCUGGGUUCAAUCCCUGAUUUAAAAAAUAAUAAUAAUCAAACAAAAAUGAGUAUUUCAGACCCCAAACCUCUAUAAACACAGUAUGAGGAUCUACAGGUAAAUUGGGGCCUGGCAAUAUAUUUUGAAAACAAAUAUCAUUUUUUUUUUCUUUUACUUGAAAUACUGUGUCUUCCAGGAUUGCAACUAAGGUUUUCAGGCAUUUCUUGGGCAUGGUGGGAGAAGCCCUUGAGGGCAUCUUUUUGCAGAAAGCAAUCCUGGAAAAGCCAGUUCCUGAAGGGCAGGAUGUCAGUUCAAGGGCCCCAACAUACCUUGAACCCUGUGGGUUGGAGAUGAACUUGGAAACCGCUUCUCCUCCACCUGGUGGCACAGCAUGCACCUUGCUCAGCCAUAGGACAGCUAGUUUUUUGUUUUUUUUUUCUGAUUUUAUGUAUGUCUUUACAGACCUUCAGGGGGAAGUAAAUGAUCAGGUAUAAAAAUUAGUUAUAGUUUUUAAAUUGUAUGCACCACUAAGUUCCUAGUUUUACCCUACUCCAGCUUCUCUGACUCCACUGCUUUCUUGGUUUCUUAGUACAGAUGGUCCCAGCAGGCUAUGGUGGAAAUUUUUAGUGUUGUGAUGGGUUUAUUGAAGUGUUAAGUAUAUUUCUGACUUGCAAGAGUUUUGACUUAAAAUGGGCUUAUUGGGAUGUAACCCUAUCAUAAAUUGAGGCACAUCUGUAGCUUUGAGUCUUAAAGAAAUGGAGAUUUUAAGCUAAUAAUGAUGGGAGCUUUAAAAAAAAAUGUGUGUGUGUGUGUAUAUUUGUAGAUGGACAUAAUAUCUUUAUUUAUCUAUUUUUAUGUGUGCUGAGGAGUCGAACCCAGGGCCUCACACAUGCGAGGCAGGCACUCUACCACUGAGCUAGAGCCCCAGCCCAGGAG